rnacentral:rRNA from 1 species
GAUGAACGCUGGCGGCGUGCCUAAUACAUGCAAGUCGAGCGAACAGACGAGGAGCUUGCUCCUCUGACGUUAGCGGCGGACGGGUGAGUAACACGUGGAUAACCUACCUCUAAGACUGGGAUAACUUCGGGAAACAGGAGAUAAUACCGGAUAAUAUAUUGAACCGCAUGGUUCAAUAGUGAAAGACGGUUUUGCUGUCACUUAUAGAUGGAUCCGCGCCGCAUUAGCUAGUUGGUAAGGUAACGGCUUACCAAGGCAACGAUGCGUAGCCGACCUGAGAGGGUGAUCGGCCACACUGGAACUGAGACACGGUCCAGACUCCUACGGGAGGCAGCAGUAGGGAAUCUUCCGCAAUGGGCGAAAGCCUGACGGAGCAACGCCGCGUGAGUGAUGAAGGUCUUCGGAUCGUAAAACUCUUUUAUUAGGGAAGAACAAAUGUGUAAGUAACUAUGCACGUCUUGACGGUACCUAAUCAGAAAGCCACGGCUAACUACGUG